ensembl:lncRNA
UUCACUCAGUAUCUGGAAUUAUCGUAUUCUGAAGAAGUCCCCUCCAAAACCAGAGAAUACUGAGUGGCAGGGUGUAUGGAGAGACUUGGGAGAGACUUUAGAGAGGUGGACAUGUUCGGUGUCAUGAAACUUUACUCCUGAACACCUAAAAGAUCCUGAGAGCCUGAACAGAUAUUUGAGACAGAGAUGUUGUGGCCUAGGCAGAUCUGAGGAGGCACAAAUGAUUUGGGGCCUGGCUAAUGCUUAUCGGGCCUUAUUUAAUACUAUCCCAGAGAGGGAAAGAAUUCUAGAAAUUGAGAGAAGGAUUGUCCAAGCCGAGAAGGAGAGUCUCUGGGCCGAGCGAAAGGGUUUCCAAGCCGAGAAGGAGAGUCUCUGGGCCGAGCGAAAGGGGUUUCCGAGCCGAGAAGGAGAGUCUCUGGGCCGAGCGAAAGGGUUUCCAAGCUGAGAAGGAUAAUUUCCGGGCUGAGCGAGAGAAUCUCCAAGCCGAGAAGGAGAAUCUCCGGUCUGAGCAAGACACACUCCAGUUCGAGAGGAACUCCCUCGAGGCUGAACGGGAUAUACUCCGAACUGAGCGAGAUGCCCUCCAGCACGCAAAAUUUAGUCUCCAAAGUGAGAUAACCAAAAUUCAGUCUCAUCAAGCCGAGCUCGAAUCUGGACUAAGCACUCUUAUAAUUCAGCGAGAUAGACUCCGAGACGAGCUGGAGAGUAAGAGCAUCGGGACUGACCAACCUGAUCAACCGUAGGAGGCACCAGAAUCGAUGUCGGUUGCCCCUGUAAGAGAACGGAAAACGAAACGAAUUUCCACUCAGUUAGAACAGAAGAAAGAGGAGGAGGGUGUAGUAGAGGAAGCAGUCAAUGUAAGAGAAGAGGAAGAGGGUGGAGUAGAAGAAGCAGGUGAUGUAAGAGAAGAGGAGGAAAGAGGUCCAGUGGAGUGGCUCCAAG